AUACAUCAACACAUGAGUGAGAUUUGACCAUUACCAUUGAGACAACAGGGAAGGACACUUUUUCAACUGCAUCUAAGGCCAGGCCAGGGAGCUGUCAUUUAAGAUGGCCCUCACAUCAGCCCACAUUCUCCUAAGGCAGCUCUCUGUUUUGAGGAAAAGGAAAACCGAACACCAGCAACAUAUUCUAGAAGAACCAAGACAUGGAAGAGGUGAUACCAGGGACCCCCUUCCUCUAGGAGAAUUCUGGGAAAUUCGAGAAGGACCUGGAAAACAGAUUUGGAGGGUCAAACUGUUGAUAGUCUGCAGCCUGCUUGGGAUCAGGCAAAGGUUUUGACUGACAAUAUAUAGUCUUUACACGUGGA